rnacentral:rRNA from 1 species
AGCAGCCGCGGUAAUUCCAGCUCCAAUAGCGUAUAUUAAAGUUGUUGCAGUUAAAAAGCUCGUAGUUGAAUUUCGGGGUUUAUCCGUUGGUCGGGCUUUUUGGUCUGUACUGGCGUGAUGGAUUCCUACCUUCUGAAUAACCGGCAUGCCAUUAAUUUGGUGCGCCGGGGAAGCAGGACUGUUACCUUGAAAAAAUUAGAGUGCUUAAAGCAGGCUUAUGCAUGAAUACAUUAGCAUGGAAUAAUGAAAUAGGACGGCAUGGUUCUAUUUUGUUGGUUUCUAGGAUCACCGUAAUGAUUAAUAGGGAUAGUUGGGGGCAUUAGUAUUCAAUUGUCAGAGGUGAAAUUCUUGGAUUUAUUGAAGACUAACUUCUGCGAAAGCAUUUGCCAAGGAUGUUUUCAUUAAUCAAGAACGAAAGUUAGGGGAUCGAAGACGAUCAGAUACCGUCGUAGUCUUAACCAUAAACUAUGCCGACUAGGGAUCGGACGAUGUUAAUUUUUUAAUGACUCGUUCGGCGCCUUACG